GCCGCGGUGGUGGAACGGUAGACACGGCGGACUCAAAAUCCGCUGCCCGCAAGGGCGUGAGAGUUCGAAUCUCUCCCGCGGUA
rnacentral:tRNA from 1 species